rnacentral:tRNA from 1 species
UAAAAGAUAAGCUAAAUAUAAGCUUUUAGAUUCAUACUCUAACUAUAGAUUAUUCUUCUUUUUA